rnacentral:rRNA from 1 species
AUGCAAACCGGCGACGCCAAGGAUGAUGAAGUUGUUAUUACUGGCAUUGGCCAUACAAAACCAAGCAAUCCUGUCGCUUUGUCUAAACAUACUGCCAAGGAAGAAUUUGCUGCCUUUGGCAAGGGCAAGUGGAAUGUUGAUCUGGCGACUUAUGCUGCUCUGAACGCCCAAGACAUCCAUUCCGGCUAUCUGAACUGGCUGUAUACCAGUCGUGACUAUGAAGCUGGUCUGGUUAACAUGAUGAAAGAUAAAUAUGAGGUUGAGCUGAAGACAAAAGAAACCCAAGUCGCCAAUCUCCAAGAAAAUCUGAAGUCCCAACAAGCUGAAACCUCCAAAGCAAAAGAGGAGUUAACCAGCGCUUUAUGCGCCAUGGAACAGCUUAAGGAGGGCUUCAAGAAAGAGCGGGCGGAUUGGGCCACUGAAAAAUCCGCUUUAACCAAACGAGCAGAAGAUGCCGAGGCUGCACUUAAACCGCUGGUGGACGAACUGGCCAGCAUAAAGCGGCAUGUGCAUGCCAUGACCACUGCUAUAUCUUUGGGACACGCAUUGGCCAUUUGGGGUCAGAUGUGCGGAAGAAAUUGA